rnacentral:lncRNA from 1 species
CAGGUGCACAGGACUGUUUGGAUUAAGAAGUGCCAGCGCUAGCAGAUACAGACAGCUGUCAGUCAUCCUGCCUAAGAUUGAGCAGUAUCCCAGAGAUGAUGCCAUAACCAGAAGUGAAAAGCACAGCUGUGGACUGGAGAGGAGAUGCACAAAAAUCUAGAACUCCAGUUGGUGGACGUGUCUUCAAAAAAGUUUUUUUUUUUUUUCUUUUUUUUUUUUCCAUCCUCAAAGGAAGUUAACCACAGGAAAGACAACUGCUCAGCCUGGUAUUGUCUGGGUUCCUGUAAGUGCUGUCAUAUUUCUAGGUCUGGACAGGAUCUCUGCAGCAGCUUUGGCCUUUCUGAAAGGAAGACCCGACACUACCGCAGACGUUGGAAACUCUGGGCCUCACAAGGAGGAAACAGGAGGGCCUGAAAGACAAGCCAGGGGUUGUGCCAUGCAUUUUGGCUGCCCACAGCCUCACAGGAGAAAAGGAGACUGGGGAGCAAUAAAAUCAGUGAGAAAGAGGAGGAGAAAAAGGCAGCAAGGGAGGAACAGCAGCACUGAUGCCAAUGACAGGUAGCAGUCGCUUGGAGGCCUCUUGAGCAAACCCACUUGUCCCUCAAGGACCUGAAGGAACAUUCCACCUCAGCAGGAAGCUUGCCGAUACAGGAAAGGAUUAAAAAAGCUAAGACCCCUAAAAACAAACAAAAAGCCUCUAAACAAAU